AUGGAUAAGACUGGAAGACAUCGGGGUGUCCUGUCUGAGCUGACACUGCAGGAGUCGGGCACAGGACUGGUGAAGCCCUCGCAGACCCUGUCCCUCACCUGCACUAUCUCUGGGGGCUCUGUCACAAGUGCUAGUUGGAACUGGAUCCGCCAGCCCACAGGGAAGGCGCUGGAGUGGAUGGGAUACAUUAAUUCUGGUGGCAGCACAGGUUAUAACCCGUCCAUCAAGAGCUGCACCUCCAUCACCAGAGACACGUCCAAGAACCAGGUGUUCUUGCAGCUGAGCUCUGUGACCGAUGAGGACACGGGCGUGUAUUACUGUGCGAGACACACAGUGACAGGAAGUCAGCAUCAGCCCAGUCACAAACCUCCCUGCAGGAUAAAGGACGAGUCUGGGCUGCAGGGGGCGCUCAAGGCCCACCCAGCUCCUGUGCCCCAUGGAGCAGGUGUCUGGCAUGAUGUACAGCUGGAGGAGUCCAGGGGAGACUUGGUGCAGCCUGUGGGGUCUCUGAAACUCUCCUGUGUAGACUCUGGAUUCACCUUCAGCAACAACAGGAUGAUCUGGGUCCAGCAGGCUCCAGGGAAGAGCUGGA